rnacentral:rRNA from 1 species
CUUUGAACAUUGACGCCACUCUUCGCGGUAAACUGAAGAGUUAAUUUUGUGGAAAUAUUCACUCUUCAUUGUUAUACUUUUCUUAAUUACCCCGGCUACUUAUACAGCUGUACUGCGGAAGCUAUACCUUCAGGCAGCCAUGGCGCAGCAAGAUCAAGACGUCAUCAUGUACUACCGCAAUGGCCUCCUCCUGGCCGCCGCACUGCUAGUCCCUCUCCUCCUCCUCGUGAGGCUCAGGCGGCCGCGCGGGGAGAACCUUCCCCCGGGGCCAUGGCGGCUGCCGGUCAUCGGCAGCCUGCACCACCUGGUCGGCAGGCUGCCGCACCGCUUCAUGCGCGACCUCGCCCGCCGGUACGACGCCCCGCUCAUACUGCUCCGCCUGGGGGAGCUCGACGUCGUCGUGGCCUCCUCCGCCGACGCGGCGAGGGAGGUCCUCAAGACCCAGGACGCGGUCUUCGCCACCCGCAUGCAGACCCCC